GAGGCAGAAGCCGCGGUAAGACGGAGGGUGCAAGCGUUAAUCGGAAAUAAUGGGCGUAAAGCGCACGCAGGCGGUCUGUCAAGUCGGAUGUGAAAUCACAGGGCUCAAACUGGGAACUGCAUCAGAAACUGGCAGGCUAGAGUCUUGUAGAGGGGGGUAGAAUUCCAGGUGUAGCGGUGAAAUGCGUAGAGAUCUGGAGGAAUACCGGUGGCGAAGGCGGCCCCCUGGACAAAGACUGACGCUCAGGUGCGAAAGCGUGGGGAGCAAACAGGAUUAGAUACCCGAGUAGUCUUUGCACGUA
rnacentral:rRNA from 1 species